UGAAGGUGGAUCUCUUGAUGUAGCCUUCAUGCUUUCUCACUUCAUGUAGCCUUCAAGCUUUGCUUUACUAUCAUUUGAUGAGUUGAUUUGAUGGAACCAAAGGUGGAUCUACCACUUUGAAGACAUGAAUUUCUACAAAAGAUCCAGUGUUUGAGGAGAUCUAAUGUUUUGGAGGAUAUUCAGAGUCAACUCAAUUAGAACCCUCUUAAGCAGAGGAGGAUGUUUUCGCCGUUGUCUACGCCCCUCUGAGAUAAAAGAGAGGAUGCUAAUAGGAAAAGAAGUUUGGUUAUAACUCUUGCAAAUGGAGGGGUCUGUGUGUUUAUCAAUGUGAUUAAUUUAUAUUUGGUUCUCCAAUAAUGCUGGGUUUUUUUUUACAGGUUCAUUGUGAGCUUAUUGUUUCUAGUAAACUUAUACGUAUAUAGUUUCAAGCUUAUACUUGGAGUUGGAGAUUUAUCUCUUAUAAAUCUCUUAUAACUUCCCAAGGCAAAAGGGCAUUGGUUUUUAUGGAGCAAGGAGCUGCAUCAAGAGAGAAAUCAACUAUUAUGAAAAUAUAAAGCACUUUUUGAGGUAGGAAAUUUGCAGUAGCUUUGAUUUUGUUCCUGUCUAGAAUGUUAGAUUCAAAUAUAUUUGAGAUAAUUUCAAAUUUGUAUUGAUUUUGAUUUUGUAUUAUAUUUUAUUAAAUUUGUGAUUUAUGUA